AACAGGGAUUGCCUCAGUAGCGGCGAGUGAAGCGGCAAAAGCUCAAAUUUGAAAUCUGGCGUCUUUGGCGUCCGAGUUGUAAUUUGAAGAAGGUAUCUUUGGGCCCGGCUCUUGUCUAUGUUCCUUGGAACAGGACGUCACAGAGGGUGAGAAUCCCGUGCGAUGAGAUGACCCGGGUCUGUGUAAAGUUCCUUCGACGAGUCGAGUUGUUUGGGAAUGCAGCUCUAAGUGGGUGGUAAAUUCCAUCUAAAGCUAAAUAUUGGCGAGAGACCGAUAGCGAACAAGUACAGUGAUGGAAAGAUGAAAAGAACUUUGAAAAGAGAGUGAAAAAGUACGUGAAAUUGUUGAAAGGGAAGGGCUUGAGAUCAGACUUGGUAUUUUGCAUGUUGCUCUCUCGGGGGCGGCCGCUGCGGUUUACCGGGCCAGCAUCGGUUUGGAGCGGCAGGAUAAUGGCGGAGGAAUGUGGCACGGCUUCUGCUGUGUGUUAUAGCCUCUGACGAUACUGCCAGCCUAGACCGAGGACUGCGGUUUUUUACCUAGGAUGUUGGCAUAAUGAUCUUAAGUCGCCCGUCUUGAAACACGGACCAAGGAGUCUAACGUCUAUGCGAGUGUUUGGGUGUAAAACCCGUACGCGUAAUGAAAGUGAACGAAGGUGGGGGCCUAUUAGGGUGCACCAUCGACCGAUCCUGAUGUGUUCGGAUGGAUUUGAGUAAGAGCAUAGCUGUUGGGACCCGAAAGAUGGUGAACUAUGCCUGAAUAGGGUGAAGCCAGAGGAAACUCUGGUGGAGGCUCGUAGCGGUUCUGACGUGCAAAUCGAUCGUCGAAUUUGGGUAUAGG
rnacentral:rRNA from 1 species